rnacentral:lncRNA from 1 species
GCAGAGUGGAUCCAUGGAAAACACUGGGUAGGAAAAAAAGAAAACCUUGAAAUAUUAGCUUCAAUGAAGGAAAAUCUGGAUAACUUAUUCUUAUGAAUCUGAAACAAUUUAAGAAAACAAAUGACUGCUUGAUUUUUGUGCCAAUUGAAUAGAAUGGGAUUCAAUUUUUAAUAGCAAGUUGGCAUGGCUAAGUAAGGUCCCUGGGAUUCUCUUGCAAUGCCGUGAAAGCAAAAGGACAGCUCUCCUAACAAGAAGCCAAGAUUGCUACAGGAGGCUGAGGAGAGGAAAAAGCCCUUUUCUCAUCACCAUUGAUUCCUUCAGUCUCCAUGAUUUCCUCUCAAGAACUGCCAUUUGUUGCUGUAGAUGGCCCAGUUGCAGACGUGCCUGAGUUCAGCAUAGUGUUGAGGAGAAUCCCAGAGAUCUGAAUCCCAG